rnacentral:tRNA from 3 species
GCGGCGAUGGCGGAAUUGGUAGACACGUAAGGUUGAGGUCCUUAUGGCGAAAGCUGUGCAGGUUCAAGUCCUGUUCGCCGCA